UACCAGCACCCCGAGUGGUCGGGACGAUUAUUGGGCCUAAAGCAUCCGUAGCCGGUCCUGCAAGUCUUCCGUUAAAUCCAGCUGCUCAACAGAUGGGCUGCGGGGGAUACUACAGGGCUAGGAGGCGGGAGAGGCAAGCGGUACUCUAUGGGGUAGGGGUAAAAUCCGUUGAUCCAUAGAAGACCACCAGUGGCGAAGGCGGCUUGCCAGAACGCGCUCGACGGUGAGGGAUGAAAGCUGGGGGAGCAAACCGG
rnacentral:rRNA from 1 species